rnacentral:ncRNA from 1 species
ACUGUCUAUAAGUCAGGUUGUUUGAGAAUGUAACCCAUAUCGAUCGAUGGCAAGAGACCGAUAGCACUUUUUGAUCCUUCUAUGUCUGCUCUUCCUAUCAUUGUGAAAUAGAAUUUAACAAGUGUUAGAUUGUUCACCCACCAAUAGUGAACGUGAGCUGGGUUUAGACCAUUGUCAGACUGGUUUGUUUUAUCCUACUGAUAACAGUGUCACGAUAGUAAUUCAACCUAGUAUGAUAGAAACCAUUGAUUCAUAUAAUUGGUCAUCGUGUUUGGUUUAAAAGCUAGUGGCACGAAGCUACCGUGUGCUGGAUUAUGACUGAACGCCUCUAAGUCAAAAUCAAGGCUAGAAGUGACGCAUACACCCAUCUUUUGCUUGCUGACCAACAAUAGGGGCCUCAACCCC